CCUGAAAUGGAGAACAGUAUUAAAGGUUCAUUCCUACACAAGGGAAGUUACUGUAUAUAUUCAAAAGGCAUUAUAAUGUCUUGCAAUAACAACAGGCAUGAGAAACUGUGAGCGUGACCAUAAUACUUGACAAGGUCAAGUGACACGUACAAUGAUUUAUAAGGACUAGUUUUUGCACGAAAAGGUUGAGAGGUUCUAGGACUAAGACUUGUGAGGUUUUGUCACUGAUAAGGCGUCCAACAGUGUGGUGUGGUGUGUGUGUGUGGCUCCGGGAAGGCCAGUGUUCCCCGCCAGAGGCGAAGGCUGCGGCAGUAUGCGUUCCGGAGAUGAAUGUAGCCUCACUUUUCUCGAGGCAGAAACACAUCGCAGAGACAUCUGGUGGCCAAACAUCGAAGAGAUUGGGUCUCAAAUGAUCCAAUUUCCUGAAGUUCUCUACCUCGAUGGAGAGCAGCCUCGGCAGCUUUAAACAAUCAGGAAAUGUUCAAUCAGGAAAUGAUGAUUUUCAGCUUUACAGAAACACAGGAAGCGAUGUAAUGCAAGAUACUAAAGGAAUGAUUUCUAUCAACUGGAAUUGAUUUUAGGCCAACACCCUCAUGCCACGGACAAUGCAUUUCAGUGCCUCUGCCUCUAAAGAAUCCAGUCGGGUCAGUUUUUCUCGGGUUCCUGCCCAUGGUGUCACAGGAGUGGCAGGGACAUACCACGUGAAACAGGUCUGAAAAGUGACUUUCAACUUUGUGACUUCGAAGAGGCACAAAUCCGUCAAAUUCUUAGGGACUGGAAACACUGAAUUACCAACAUGCAGAGUUUUGAACUGACAAGAAGCAAAUCAUUAUCGUAGCAGUGACACGCAGAGCAGAUGGGAUGUGUCUUCAAUCAAGCUGUCCACCGCUCUUUCUGCUCAAAGAGAAGAAUGAGCGUUUUGUUUCUCUAAUGAGUUUCUGUCUCUCUGUGGGCUGAAAAUCUAA